UGAGGGAAAAAGUCCCACAAGGCAAAAGAG
rnacentral:piRNA from 1 species